CCUGCGGAUGCCAAGUCGCCUUUCGGUCUCUUUCCAAACAAAGUCCGUCCCGAGAUGCUCAGCCGGCAGUCUGCAGAUUGUAUUUUCCUCUGACUGUCUCGUCACCGGGGAUGCACCACAAUGGGCAAGAACGGGUGUCAUUUCAUCUCAGCCGCCGCCACUGCUCCGCAGGGACAUGCUGAGAGUUGCCUCUUUUAAACCCAGGGAGGGAGAAUGAGUGGAGGAGAAAAGAGAUGAAACAGGGCAUUACACCCCCUCCCCACCUUCGCUCCCCCAGAGGAACUGAGGGAAGAAUAGAAAAGAAAACAACAGCUUGGAUUGACAACCAGCCAUAAUCUACCAAUAUACUCUCAUGGUAUCAACCAUAAGGCAAGUCUUUCUUAUUGCAGGGUACACACAUGCCGAUAAUUUUCUUUUUCUUCCAGUUUAAAGUCAGCAAAAGCCCAAUUGUCAGAUGUCACUAAUGCUAUGCUU